CGUGCGCUCUUCCAAUCUGGUAAGGUGGCCUCAGGCUGGAAAGGACAAUCCCAGACUGUAUUAAGGAACUACACCAUCUACCAGGGUGAGACAUUGCUUCAUUCAAAUCCUGUCUAGUUUAUAGAACUCAUAUUGUGAUUUUACUUUCAUUUCUUAGAUAAACAACUUUGAGCUGCACACGUAUUACCCAUAAUCACUUAAACUCUAUCUUUCUGUAGUUAAUAAAUCUGUUUUAAAUUUUAC